rnacentral:rRNA from 1 species
UACAGAGGGUGCUAGCGUUGUUCGGAAUCAUUGGGCGUAAAGGGCGCGUAGGCGGCACGGCAAGUCAGGAGUGAAAGCCCUGGGCUCAACCCGGGAACUGCUUUUGAAACUGCCGAGCUAGAGUGCGGAAGGGGCAACUGGAAUUCCCAGUGUAGCGGUGAAAUGCGUAGAUAUCGGGAGGAACACCUGUGGCGAAGGCGGCCCCCUGGUUGGAUACUGACGCUGAUACGCGAAAGCGUGGGGAGCAAACAGG